UACGGAGGGGGCUAGCGUUAUUCGGAAUUAUUGGGCGUAAAGGGCGCGUAGGCGGCCCGGUAAGUCAAAGGUGAAAUCCCUCGGCUCAACUGAGGAACUGCCUUUGAAACUGUCGGGCUUGAGGCCGGGAGGGGGUAGCGGAAUUCCCAGUGUAGCGGUGAAAUGCGUAGAUAUGCGGAGGAACACCGAUGGCGAAGGCAAUCCCCUGGACCUGUACUGACGCUCAUGCACGAAAGCGUGGGGAGCAAACAGG
rnacentral:rRNA from 1 species